CACGUAGGGGGCGAGCGUUUGUCCGGAUUUAUUGGGCGUAAAGAGCUCGUAGGCGGUUCGGUAAGUCGGGUGUGAAACCUCCAGGCUCAACCUGGAGUCGCCACUCGAUACUGCUGUGACUAGAGUCCGGUAGGGGAGCGUGGAAUUCCUGGUGUAGCGGUGAAAUGCGCAGAUAAUCAGGAGGAACACCAGCGGCGAAGGCGGCGCUCUGGGCCGGAACUGACGCUGAGGAGCGAAAGCGUGGGUAGCAAACAG
rnacentral:rRNA from 1 species